rnacentral:tRNA from 1 species
UCCCGUGUGGCUCAGUUGGUAGAGCAUGGCUCUUACAACUCCAAGGUUGUGGGUUCAAUUCCCACAAGGGAC